rnacentral:rRNA from 1 species
CAGCCGCCGCGGGAAAACGAAGGGGGCUAGCGUUGUUCGGAAUUACUGGGCGUAAAGCGCACGUAGGCGGAUAUUUAAGUCAGGGGUGAAAUCCCGCAGCUCAACUGCGGAACUGCCUUUGAUACUGGGUAUCUUGAGUAUGGAAGAGGUUAGUGGAAUUGCGAGUGUAGAGGUGAAAUUCGUAGAUAUUCGCAGGAACACCAGUGGCGAAGGCGGCUAACUGGUCCAUAACUGACGCUGAGGUGCGAAAGCGUGGGGAGCAAACAGGAUUAGAUACCCCGGUAGUCCCUGUCUCUUAUAA